rnacentral:tRNA from 1 species
GCUAGUGUGGCAGAGACCGGUAAUUGCAUAAAACUUAAGCUUUUAUUGUCAGAGGUUCAACUCCUCUCUCUAGCA